rnacentral:rRNA from 1 species
CAUUCACGGAGAGUUUGAUCCUGGCUCAGGACGAACGCUGGCGGCGUGCUUAACACAUGCAAGUCGAACGGAUGAACCACUUCGGUGGGGAUUAGUGGCGAACGGGUGAGUAACACGUGGGCAAUCUGCCCUUCACUCUGGUGACAAGCCCUGGAAACGGGGUCUAAUACCGGAUAACACUUCCAUCCUCCUGGGUGGAGGUUAAAAGCUCCGGGCGGUGAAGGAUGAGCCCGCGGCCUAUCAGCUUGUUGGUGAGGUAAUGGCUCACCAAGGCGACGACGGGUUAGCCGGCCUGAGAGGGCGACCGGCCACACUGGGACUGAGACACGGCCCAGACUCCUACGGGAGGCAGCAUGUGGGGAAUAUUGCACAAUGGGCGAAAGCCUGAUGCAGCGACGCCGCGUGAGGGAUGACGGCCUUCGGGUCUGUAAACCUCUUUCAGCAGGGAAGAAGCGAAAGUGACGGUACCUGCAGAAGAAGCGCCGGCUAACUACGUAGCCAGCAGCCGCGGUAAUACGUAGGGCGCGAGCGUUGUCCGGAAUUAUUGGGCGUAAAGAGCUCGUAGGCAGGCUUGUCACGUCGGGUGUGAAAGCCCGGGGCUUAACCCCGGGUCUGCAUUCGAUACGGGCUAGCUAGAGGUGUGGUAGGGGAGAUCGGAAUUCCUGGUGUAGCGGUGAAAUGCGCAGAUAUCAGGAGGAACACCGGUGGCCGAAGGCGGAUCUCUGGGCCAUUACUGACGCUGAGGAGCGAAAGCGUGGGGAGCGAACAGGAUUAGAUACCGCUGGUAGUCCACGCCGUAAACGGUGGGAACUAGGUGUUGGCGACAUUCCACGUCGUCGGUGCCGCAGCUAGACGCAUUAAGUUCCCCGCCUGGGGAGUACGGCCGCAAGGCUAAAACUCAAAGGAAUUGACGGGGGCCCGCGACAAGCAGCGGAGCAUGUGGCUUAAUUCGACGCAACGCGAAGAACCUUACCAAGGCUUGACAUACACCGGGAAAGCAUUAGAGAUAGUGCCCCCCUUGUGGUCGGUGUACAGGUGGUGCAUGGCUGUCGUCAGCUCGUGUCUGUGAGAUGUUGGGUUAAGUCCCGCAACGAGCGCAACCCUUGUUCUGUGUUGCCAGCAUGCCCUUCGGGGUUGAUGGGGACUCACAGGAGACCGCCGGGGUCAACUCGGAGGAAGGUGGGGACGACGUCAAGUCAUCAUGCCACCUUAUGUCUUGGGCUGCACACGUGCUACAAUGGCCGGUACAAUGAGCUGCGAUACCGCGAGGUGGAGCGGAAUCUCAAAAAGCCGGUCUCAGUUCGGAUUGGGGUCUGCAACUCGACCCCAUGAAGUCGGAGUUGCUAGUCAAUCGCAGAUCAGCAUUGCUGCGGUGAAUACGUUCCCGGGCCUUGUACACACCGCCCGUCACGUCACGAAGAGUCGGUAACACCCGAAGCCGGUGGCCCAACCCCUUGUGGGAGGGAGCUGUCGAAGGUGGGACUGGCGAUGUGGGACGAAGUCGUAACAAGGUAGCCGUACCGGAAGGUGCGGCUGGAUCACCUCCUUUCUAAG